GCAAGUCGAGGGGUAACAGGGAGCUUGCUCCGCUGACGACCGGCGCACGGGUGCGUAACGCGUAUAGAACCUACCUUUUACAGAGGGAUAGCCUUUAGAAAUGAAGAUUAAUACCUCAUAGUAUUGCGAUUUGGCAUCAGAUUGUAAUUAAAGAUUUAUCGGUAAAAGAUGGCUAUGCGUCCUAUUAGCUAGAUGGAGUGGUAACGGCACCCCAUGGCAACGAUAGGUAGGGGCCCUGAGAGGGGGAUC
rnacentral:rRNA from 1 species